GGGGAUGUAGCUCAGCUGGUAGAGCGACUGCUUUGCAAGCAGUAGGUCGCCCGUUCGAAUCGGGUCAUCUCCA
rnacentral:tRNA from 1 species